GGGAUACCGAUUAAGCGAGGUAGAUCCAGCCGCAGGUUCCCACUACGGCUACAUUGUUACCACUUCACCCCAAUUACCAGCCCUGCCUACGGAGCCUCCCCCCCAUUGCGGUUGGCUACCUACUUGUGGAAUAACUACUUUUUAGGGAAUCGGGCGAAGUGUGAAAAACCCGGGAAAAUUUAAAAAAAUG
rnacentral:rRNA from 1 species